rnacentral:rRNA from 1 species
UACGGGGGGGGCAAGCGUUGUUCGGAAUUACUGGGCGUAAAGGGCUUGUAGGUGGCCAACUAAGUCAGACGUGAAAUCCCUCGGCUUAACCGGGGAACUGCGUCUGAUACUGGAUGGCUUGAGUGUGGGAGAGGGAUGCGGAAUUCCAGGUGUAGCGGUGAAAUGCGUAGAUAUCUGGAGGAAUACCGGUGGCGAAGGCGGCGUUCUGGACUGCAACUGACACUGAUGAACGAAAGCCAGGGGAGCAAACGGG